UCGGGAAUUUUGGGCAAUGGGCGAAAGCCUGACCCAGCAACGCCGCGUGAGUGAAGAAGGCCUUCGGGUUGUAAACCCCUUUCGGGAGGGAAGAUGGAAUGGGGUAACCCAUUCGGACGGUACCUCCAGAAGCAGCCACGGCUAACUUCGUGCCAGCAGCCGCGGUAAUACGAAGGUGGCAAGCGUUAUUCGGAUUUACUGGGCGUACAGGGAGCGUAGGCGGUUCGGUAAGCCCUUUGUGAAAUCUCCAGGCUUAACCUGGAAAAGUCGGAGGGGACUGCCGGGCUAGAGGACGGGAGAGGAGCGCGGAAUUCCCGGUGUAGCGGUGAAAUGCGUAGAGAUCGGGAGGAAGGCCGGUGGCGAAGGCGGCGCUCUGGAACGUUUCUGACGCUGAGGCUCGAAAGCGUGGGGAGCAAACAGGAUUAGAUACCCCCGUAGUCCCUGAGCGGGCUGGCAAGGCGCAU
rnacentral:rRNA from 1 species